GAUGAACGCUAGCGGCAGGCCUAACACAUGCAAGUCGAGGGGUAGAACACUUCGGUGUUUGAGACCGGCGCACGGGUGCGUAACGCGUAUGCAAUCUACCUUGUACAGGGGAAUAGCCCAGAGAAAUUUGGAUUAAUGCCCCAUAGUAUAUAACCUUCGCAUGUUGGUUAUAUUAAAGUUCCAACGGUACAAGAUGAGCAUGCGUCCCAUUAGUUAGUUGGUAAGGUAACGGCUUACCCAGACGAUGAUGGGUAGGGGUCCUGAGAGGGAGAUCCCCCACACUGGUACUGAGACACGGACCAGACUCCUACGGGAGGCAGCAGUGAGGAAUAUUGGUCAAUGGUCGCAAGACUGAACCAGCCAUGCCGCGUGCAGGAAGACGGUCCUAUGGAUUGUAAACUGCUUUUAUACAGGAAGAAACCCUCCCACGUGUGGGAGCUUGACGGUACUGUAGGAAUAAGGAUCGGCUAACUCCGUGCCAGCAGCCGCGGUAACAC
rnacentral:rRNA from 1 species